GCAUCAGGGGAUCGCGAUCGUCGGCUUUUCCUAAUUGGAUCUUGGAGAACAGCAUGCUCUCGAUUCGAGUCCAGAAGAACCAAAUCAUGAAGCAGAAUGGACUAGUUUCAUACCAUGGGAUCUGCAGCUAAUGUAGCACGUUUCAGAAUGUUUUCGACAAGAUGUAGAAGGGAUCUUGUAUCGACAUCUCGAUCAUCAGGAUCAUGGGUGGCUGUUAUUUGCUUCAUCAUCGCAUUGUCGUCGGAAAUGGCGAACAUGAACUUGUUACCCUUGGCCAAUUGAUGUCUAGAGGCUAGUGAGAACUUAUUACUGCCCGCCAUUGUUGUACAAUGCAAAGGUAGAGAAGAAGAAGCUUAUGGAAUGUCUGCAAGAUAGGUCGCCAAAUUUAUAGGCUUGAGAAAGAGUAAAGGAUCAGAAUAUUUGUCUGCGGAUCACUUGCUCUGUUUGGUUUAUCACAAAUGAAGAAACGAGGCUGUUGCCUCGUGGCCAACUCUCAGGGGCUUUAGUUUGACGUAGAGCUUUUUGGUUCUUCAGUUAGGCGGCCACUUCGCGAUAUUAUGCCAAUUCCAGUUUUGAACUACCUUCAAAUCGUUAUUUUCAAUCAAGUUGGUCGUCGUCACACCACUCGCUGGUGCUCGCGGUCAUAAAGGGACGUUAAACGUAAUUAGUUACUCAAAGGAAAAAAAAGGAUAUCGGGUGUCAUUCACUUCAAAUAAGCCCGUGUAUCAUCGUACAUUAGUGUCAUAUGAUACUAAUUUUGGUGGUAGCUUGUUGAUUGAAUGCAACUCUUUACCGUUGCUUUUCUUGACUUGCAAAUAUAGGUGAGAAUUUUGGUACAUUUUUAUUGCAUAAACCUUCGAACAGCAAAGUUUCUUCCUUUCUUUACUUGCAAAUGUUGCUCAGAAUGUUCAUAUUUUAUGUUAAAUUAGCUAUCUGUUGAAGGGGA